UCCCUGGUGGCUCAGUCGGUAGGGAAUCUGCCUGCAGUGCAGGAGACCCAGGUUUGAUUCCUGGGUUGGGAA
rnacentral:tRNA from 1 species